rnacentral:rRNA from 1 species
AUUGAACGCUGGCGGCAGGCCUAACACAUGCAAGUCGAGCGAGCGGCGGACGGGUGAGUAAUGUCUGGGAAACUGCCUGAGGGAGGGGGAUAACGACUGGAAACGGUAGCUAAUACCGCAUACCAUCAGAGGUGCCUAGAGGGGAUUGGCUAGUAGGUGGGGUAAUGGCGCACCUAGGCGACGAUCCCUAGCUGGUCUGAGAGGAUGAACAGCCACACUGAGACUGAGCGCCGGUCCAGACUCCUACGUGAGGCAGCAGUGGGGAAUAUUGCACAAUGGGCACAAGCCUGAUACAGCCCUGCCGCGUGUGUGAAGAAGGCCUUCGGGUUGUAAAGCACUUUCAGCGGGGAGGCGUUACCCGCAGAAGAAGCACCGGCUACCUCCGUGCCAGCCGCCGCGGUAAUAC